rnacentral:rRNA from 1 species
CAAUAGCGUAUAUUAAAGUUGUUGCAGUUAAAAAGCUCGUAGUUGGAUUUGUGGCGUACGGUGGGUUCCGGGCACUUGUUGUCUGAGUAACUUGCUGUUGCCAUCCUUGGGUGGAACCUGUGUGGCAUUAGGUUGUCGUGCAGGGGAUGCCCAUCAUUUACUGUGAAAAAAUUAGAGCGUUCAAAGCAGGCUUAUGCCGUUGAAUAUAUUAGCAUGGAAUAAUGAGAUAGGACUUUUUUGCUAUUUUGUUGGUUUGCGCAAAGAGGUAAUGAUUAAUAGGGACAGUUGGGGGUAUUCGUAUUCCAUUGUCAGAGGUGAAAUUCUUGGAUUUUUGGAAGACGAACUACUGCGAAAGCAUUUACCAAGGAUGUUUUCAUUAA